UGUAAUGUUACUCUAUCCAUCCACCCAUCCAUCCAUUUGAUUUACAUUGUAUCCUUAUUAUGGUCACAGCUGACCUGGAGCCUAUCCCGACUGACCUUUGGCAAGACAAGAAGUACAACCUCGGUUGGGCACCCAUCAAUCUCAGAGCACGUCAUGAAUCUAAUUGUGAAUUGGUCAUGCUCACCUUUCCACAGUGAAGGCUGUGAUGGAGCAGGAUGACACAUUGAUGCCCAAGUACUGCAGGACAACAAGGACCACCAUGAUAUUUCCCACAAUGCCAACACUACACACCAACAGGACCAAGAAGACAGACA